rnacentral:snRNA from 1 species
UUUCACCAUCGCUGAACAUCCU